rnacentral:rRNA from 1 species
UACGGAGGGUGCAAGCAUUGAUCGGAAUUACUGGGCGUAAAGGGCGCGUAGGCGGCUUUGAAAGUCAGAUGUGAAAUUCCGGGGCUCAACCCCGGAGCUGCAUUUGAAACUUCCGAGCUUAGAGGAUGGUAAGGGAAAACGGAAUUCCACGUGUAGCGGUGAAAUGCGUAGAUAUCUGGAGGAACACCGGUGGCGAAGGCGGCAUCCUGGACCAACACUGACGCUGAGGAGCGAAAGCCAGGGGAGCAAACGGG